UACAGAGGUCCCGAGCGUUGUUCGGAUUCACUGGGCGUAAAGGGUGCGUAGGUGGUGAGGUAAGUCGGAUGUGAAAGCUCCAAGCUCAACUUGGAAAUGGCAUUGGAAAACUACCUUGCUAGAGGGUUUGAGGGGGGGACUGGAAUACUUGGUGUAGCGGUGAAAUGCGUAGAUAUCGGAAGGAACAUCAGUGGCGAAAGCGGCUUCCUGGUCCAGCACCGACGUUCAGGCACGAAAGCGUGGGGAGCAAACAGG
rnacentral:rRNA from 1 species